UAGCUUCUGCAUAUGAGACCCUUGACUCUUCCGCAUACUGGACCCUUGACUUUCUGAAUCUGGCUUAUCUUAAUAAUGAUAACAUUUCCAUCUAUUUACUAGCAAAAGCCACAUUUUUUUCUUUUUUUAUGGCUAAGUAGAACUCCAUUGUGUGUGGGGGUGUGUGUGUAUGUAUGUGUUUGUGUAUGUAUGUGUAUAUAUAUAUAUAUAUAUCACAUUUUCUUUAUCCAUUCAUCUGUUGAUGAGCCCCUGGGCUGGCUCCAUAAGCUGGCUAUUGUGAAUUGUGCCUACAACCUUUCCUAUAAGUUAGUCAUUUAGUCAGAAAAUAUUUGAGUGCCUGUGCCUGUUGUGUGCCAGACCUUGCUUUAGGCUCUGGAGAUAAAGCAGUGAAAAAAAAACCUGUCACUUAUCUGAAGAUACUUGCAUGCUAGUGGGAAGACCCACCAAUAAAUAUGUAAACAAAAAAUGAAUGAUUUUAAGUGCUGACAGAUACACAGAAGGAGAUCUUUGUGAGAGGUGCCUCCUUAAGUGUCUCUUUAUCUCACAGAAAACUAAGUCAGACAUUUCAGAUAUGCUCUUCUGCCAUUACACUUGAGAACUCUUACGUUAUUUCUUGUUUAAUUGUUGAACUUUUAUCAUGGGCCAUCAUAGAUCUUCAUAUCUAGUUACACUAGUUGUUGCCUGGUAUAUGUAAUAUUAUUAAUCACUAUUUGUUAAAUAGAUGAAUGUUAUUUCCUUGGUAUGAAUUAGUUGAUAGACUUUUAUCUUAUUGCUUAAAUUUUUUUAAAAAAUAUGCAUAUAUAUUGAAAUAAAAAAAUUGGUAAAAAAUAAGACUCUGAAAUUUAUAACUGUUCAGAUAUUUGCGGAUAUACACACACACACACACACGUACAUACUACAUUUACCUUUUACACACUUAACAUUUAUACCAAAUCAACAAAUUCUUAUAGAUAGUGAAAUUCUAUAUAUUACUCAUUUCUUAGUUAUUCUGAGAAAUUAUUUUGUUUGGACAAUUGUGAAAUCAAAAGUAUGCUCUGAAAUUAAAAUACCACAAGAAAAGAAUAGACAUGACAUUGGGUCAUUUUAGCUUAGAAGCAAAACAGUGCAUGGAAUCUGCAUAAUCAUUUUGGGCAAAACUUUAUUAAUCUUUCUGUUUGCUUAAUAUAUUUGCCUUUGUAAAGUUUAUACUAUCAAUCUACUAUAUCAAGUGUGAAGUUCUUGCAAGAUUAGUAGAAUAGCAGGAGGCCUCUCUAGAGGAAAAUGGAAUUACCACACUCUCUUCCAUCUUCAGGUUCUACUGAAAAGAGUAUUUUGUUCAACUAUGCUCACCAUAAUGUCAAGCAAAC
rnacentral:lncRNA from 1 species